GAUGAACGCUGGCGGCGUGCCUAAUACAUGCAAGUCGAGCGGUAAGGCCCUUCGGGGUACACGAGCGGCAGACGGCUGAGUAACACGUAGGAACGUACCCCAAACUGAGGGAUAAGCCCCAGAAAUGGUGUCUAAUACCGCAUGUGGCCUUCGGGCUAAAGCUCCGGCGGUUUGGGAACGGCCUGCGUCCGAUUAGCUAGUUGGGAGUGUAAUGGACUACCAAGGCGACGAUCGGUAGCUGGUCUGAGAGGAUGAUCAGCCAGACUGGGACUGAGACACGGCCCAGACUCCUACGGGAGGCAGCAGUAGGGAAUUUUCCACAAUGGGGGCAACCCUGAUGGGGCAACGCCGCGUGCAGGAUGAAGGCCUUCGGGUUGUAAACUGCUUUUAUCUGUGACGAUUAUGACGGUAGCAGAUGAAUAAGGACCUGCUAACUACGUGCCAGCCGCCGCAGUAA
rnacentral:rRNA from 1 species